UGGCGGCGUGCCUAACACAUGCAAGUCGAGCGAGGAGAUUCCUCGGGAUGAUCCUAGCGGCGGACGGGUGAGUAACACGUGGGCAACCUGCCUCAUAGAGAGGAAUAGCCUUCCGAAAGGGAGAUUAAUACCUCAUAACAUUGCAGUUUCGCAUGGAACAGCAAUUAAAGGAGCAAUCCGCUAUGAGAUGGGCCCGCGGCGCAUUAGCUAGUUGGUGAGGUAACGGCUCACCAAGGCGACGAUGCGUAGCCGACCUGAGAGGUCGAACGGCCACAUUGGGACUGAGACACGGCCCAGACUCCUACGGGAGGCAGCAGUGGGGAAUAUUGCACAAUGGGGGAAACCCUGAUGCCAGCAACGCCGCGUGAGUGAUGACGGCCUUCGGGUUGUAAAGCUCUGUCUUCAGGGACGAUAAUGACGGUACCUGAGGAGGAAGCCACGGCUAACUACGUGCCAGCCGCGGC
rnacentral:rRNA from 1 species